UUAAAGAAGCUUUAAGUUCCUCCAAAGAAUUCAGCUUCAAAUUUGUGAAACAGUCUGUGAAUCAAGUUUUCUAUAGCAUUGCUAGGGAAGUUGUUUCUAUGUCUAACUGUAAGGAAUGGGGUACCAUUUGAUUGA